UAGAGUUUGAUCCUGGCUCAGAUUGAACGCUGGCGGCAGGCCUAACACAUGCAAGUCGAGCGGUAACAGAAAGUAGCUUGCUACUUUGCUGACGAGCGGCGGACGGGUGAGUAAUGCUUGGGAACAUGCCUUGAGGUGGGGGACAACAGUUGGAAACGACUGCUAAUACCGCAUAAUGUCUACGGACCAAAGGGGGCUUCGGCUCUCGCCUUUAGAUUGGCCCAAGUGGGAUUAGCUAGUUGGUGAGGUAAUGGCUCACCAAGGCGACGAUCCCUAGCUGGUUUGAGAGGAUGAUCAGCCACACUGGGACUGAGACACGGCCCAGACUCCUACGGGAGGCAGCAGUGGGGAAUAUUGCACAAUGGGCGCAAGCCUGAUGCAGCCAUGCCGCGUGUGUGAAG
rnacentral:rRNA from 1 species